UGAUGGUGACCUAAACCCUCACCAGAGUAACAAUUGGAGGGCAAGUCUGGUGCCAGCAGCCGCGGUAAUUCCAGCUCCAAUAGCGUAUAUUAAACUUGUUGCAGUUAAAAAGCUCGUAGUUGAAUUUUUGCGUGGUGUUAAUAUUGACUGAUGUCGAGAUUGCACUUCGCUUUUGGGAUUUUUCCCUUUUUACUUUGAGAAAAUUAGAGUGUUUCAAGCAGACUUUUGUCUUGAAUACUUCAGCAUGGAAUAAUAGAGUAGGACUUUGGUUCUAUUUUGUUGGUUUGUGAACCUUAGUAAUGGUUAAUAGGAACGGUUGGGGGCAUUCGUAUUUAACUGUCAGAGGUGAAAUUCUUAGAUUUGUUAAAGACGAACUACUGCGAAAGCAUUUGCCAAGGACGUUUUCAUUAAUCAAGAACGAAAGUUAGGGGAUCGAAGACGAUCAGAUACCGUCGUAGUCCUAA
rnacentral:rRNA from 1 species